CAAGACAGAGACAGAGGAAUAUUGAGAAAGGAAAGAAGUGGAGGAGGAGAAAAGAAUAUGCAACAAGAAUCUCGCUCUGUCAACCCCGCUGGAGUGCAAUGGUGCAAUCUCGACUCAGAGACUGAGUUUCACCACGUAAGCCAGGCUGGUCUUGAACUUCUGACCUCAAGUGACUCCCCCGCCUCAGCCUUCCAAAGUGUUGAAACUAUAGGGGUUUCUAUAGAGGACUCUGAAGCCUGAAAAGAAGGUGGACCCAAGAAUAGAAGCAGCUGAUUCUGCUGUUAAUAUUUCUGUUUCCUCUUGGUUAUGUACACUAAUUUCUCUUGU